rnacentral:rRNA from 1 species
GAUGAACGCUGACAGAAUGCUUAACACAUGCAAGUCAACUUGAACUUCGGUUUGGGUGGCGGACGGGUGAGUAACGCGUAAAGAACUUGCCUCACAGAUAGGGACAACAUUUGGAAACGAAUGCUAAUACCUGAUAUUAUGAUUUUAGGGCAUCCUAGGAUUAUGAAAGCUAUAUGCGCUGUGAGAGAGCUUUGCGUCCCAUUAGCUAGUUGGAGAGGUAACGGCUCACCAAGGCGAUGAUGGGUAGCCGGCCUGAGAGGGUGAUCGGCCACAAGGGGACUGAGACACGGCCCUUACUCCUACGGGAGGCAGCAGUGGGGAAUAUUGGACAAUGGACCAAGAGUCUGAUCAAGCAAUUCUGUGUGCACGAUGAAGUUUUUCGGAAUGUAAAGUGCUUUCAGUUGGGAAGAAAAAAAUGACGGUACCAACAGAAGAAGUGACGGCUAAAUACGUG